CGUAGGGUGCGAGCGUUGUCCGGAAUUAUUGGGCGUAAAGAGCUCGUAGGCGGUGUGUCGCGUCGGCCGUGAAAACCUGCAGCUUAACUGUGGGCUUGCGGUCGAUACGGGCAUCACUGGAGUUCGGCAGGGGAGACUGGAAUUCCUGGUGUAGCUGUGAAAUGCGCAGAUAUCAGGAGGAACACCGGUGGCGAAGGCGGGUCUCUGGGCCGAUACUGACGCUGAGGAGCGAAAGCGUGGGGAGCGAACAGGAUUAGAUACCCUGGUAGUCCACGCCGUAAACGUUGGGCGCUAGGUGGUGGGGGCCAUUCCGACGGUCUCUGUGCCGUAGCUAACGCAUUAAGCGCCCCGCCUGGGAGUACGGCCGCAAGGCU
rnacentral:rRNA from 1 species